CCUACGGGUGGCAGCAGUAGGGAAUCUUUCACAAUGGGCGAAAGCCUGAUGGAGCAACGCCGCGUGCAGGAUGAAGGCCUUCGGGUUGUAAACUGCUUUUAUAAGCGAGAAAUAUGAUGGUAACUUAUGAAUAAGGAUCGGCUAACUACGUGCCAGCAGCCGCGGUCAUACGUAGGAUCCGAGCAUUAUCCGGGGUGACUGGGUGUAAAGAGUUGCGUAGGUGGCAUAAUAAGUAGCUAGUGAAAUCUGGUGGCUCAACCAUUCAGACUAUUAGCUAAACUGUUAAGCUCGAGACCGUUAGGGGUAACUGGAAGUUCUAGUGUAGGAGUGAAAUCCGUAGAUAUUAGAAGGAACACCAAUAGCGUAGGCAGGUUGCUGGGACGGUUCUGACACUAAGGCACGAAAGCGUAGGGAGCAAACGGGAUUAGAUACCCCAGUAGUC
rnacentral:rRNA from 1 species